GGCAGCAGAGAGGGGAGAAGUAGUGUUGACAUUCGAAAUCUCUCACAGAACUGAUGUUUAUAUCACAACUACCAACAGCAGCUUUAAAUAUGUUUGUUUGACUUAAAGUAUGGCUGAUGUCACUCUAAAUUUUCAUUAUCAUCUGCUUUGUAGCUGCUUGUUAAUUGAGGGGUGGUGAAAUGAUAACAAUGAAUCAGAUUGACGAUGUUUGUACUUUUUAGACACAGUAAAGAAACAUGAUAACAAUACUCAAGCUUCUCACUCUGAGUGUGACGUCACGAGGAGAUGGCCUCUGUGGGAAUAUGGGUUGUUAGCUGUUCCUGGCUCUGCUCAUUGGUUAGGGAGAAGGAGACCUCAUUCUCACCUGGCAGCAACCCGGGGCUGUUUGGCAUGCUUCUCUCUCAGAGAGAGAGAGAGAGAGAGAGAGAGAGAGAGAGAGAGAGAGAGACAGAGAGAGAGAGAGAGAGAGAGAGACAGAGAGACAGAGAGAAAUGAAGACAGUACAGCAGCUGAACUCUCCGAGCUGCAUGGAUAAAAGCUACCACAUUUUUAUUUUACAGUUAAUCAGCUCCAAUCUUCCAAAUUCAGAUCAAUAAAUGUCUGGACCUUGGUGACAUCACAGCUGAUUGACAGCUUUCCUUACAAAGAGGUAUGGAAAUAAAACGCUGAACUGGAUCAAACUUUA